UUGUUGCAUGAAUAAUAAACAACUGAUAAAAUUAUCCACACCUGACUAUAGUAAAGUAUUAACAAAUUUUGAUGCAAUAAAUGGGGUAUGAUUUAAAAAUUAUUAUCCCUCCAAAACGGAGAAAACAUCUUUGACAAAAAUCUACAUGUCUGUUUCUUUUAAAGUGUUUCUAGUGUGUAUAUGAUGAGUUGUAUUAAUCCCCCACCCCCACCCCCCAGACCUCAAUAAUUUCCAAAGCCUGGUUAGGGCCAUGGAGUUUCCCAACUGAGUUGCAAUUUAACACACAUUUCAAAAUCUGAUAUGUUUUGAUUUUAAGAUCGUUUUGUGGGACAGCAAUAGUGAUCUUUAUCAAACCUGAUUUAAAACCACAUCAAAUACAUCAGAUAAAUUUUGCAUUGCAAUAUUUAUUCUUGUGGAAAUUCUUAGAAUUCGAUUUGCACUGCUUAGUUUCUGCAUGAUUCUGUCACAUCUGUGGAAUUGCUACAAAAAUGAGUGGGGAGAAAACAAGCGAUGUGAUUUGAGUCAUCGUGUAAAAUAAGUCAUGUAAGCAUUUAUCUGUCACACAUAAUCUUACUUGAGGAAAAACUUAGUCAGUUUGGGAUAUAAAAAGAGGUGUCUUUUGUGAUUUGCAAUAAUGUUUGAAGAUGGACAGCAGAAAGCUUUAUGGUAAGAUCUAUUUCCCUUGCAUUAUUCUGUGUUGUCAUUUUUGUUUUUCUCAUCUCUUUGACAUUUUUUUUUUUUUCGACAGAGUUGUUGCUUGUAGUUCUCACAUUACACUUAGUCAGGUCAAAUCAAGAGAUAGAAUGCCUUCGGACUAUUCAAAAUGAUUCCCAUUACCUAAUAAAACCUCAGGUGGAGAAAUAUGAAUCUUGUGCGAAAAUAAGGCAUACAAGAAGAGAUGUUACAUGCAUCUUUAGCUGGACUCUAACUGGAAACUGUUGGGAGUUGCAGGAAAUACAACAGAUGAUAAGAGAAAGCAGUGUAA